rnacentral:lncRNA from 1 species
AAAGCAGGAAAAAAAAAGGAAAAAAAGAUUGGUAACAGUUGUUAGCUCAGGUGCCAAUCUUUAAAAAAAAAAAAGAAGAAAAUUAAGAUUGUUAGUUGCCCUGCAGAUAUCAGAAUAUUUUAUAAAGUUGGCAGUGGCAGAGAAAUGGCCAUGGAUCGAUAGAAUAGAACAGAGAGUCCAGAAAAGGAUCAAUGUAAAUAUGUGAAGGAACGUAUGAUGGAUAUGGCAUUUCAAAUAAUUGAGAAAAGGACUGAUUCUUCACUAACUGAUGUUAGGACAUCUGGCUCUCCUUUUGUUGGGACAACUUGCUAUCCUUGAGGGGGAAAAGAUGGUGAAGUCCUUAACUCAUACCAGCUUUAAAAUAAAAUGGCAUGUAGAUUAAAGAGCUAAAUUAAGAAAAAAAUGUCAAAGUGCAAUAUGAAACAAUGAGAUAUUUCUCACCUAUCAGAUUGGCAAAAAAACUUAUAAGUUUGACAAUACCUUGGGCUGGGAAAGAUUUAGAGACAAGCACUCUCCUUAACUAUUAUUGGGAAUGCAAUUUGAUUUUUUUUUCUUGAGGAAGAUUUGCCCUGAGCUAACAUCUAUUGCCAAUCUUCUUCUUUUUUGUAUAUGGGUCACUGUCAUAGCAUGCCUGCCAACAAGUGAUGUAGGUCCAUGCCUGGGAACUGAACCCAGGCCACUGACAUGGAGCACACCGAACUUAACCACUAGGCCAUAGGGCCAGCCCCCUAAUUUGAUAUUUCUAUCUCAGUCCAUAUCAACUGAAAUUUAAACUACAUAUAUCCUUUGACCUAGAAGUUCCACUGCUAGGAAUUUACCAAACAGUCAUCUUUACAAAAGAGAUCUACAACGUCCAUUCCACAACAAUGGCUGGAAGAAUCCAUGGGGACUGUAUGUGGCUUCCUGAAAAAAGUGAUAUCCCCACCCUCCACCCCCGUUUUCCCGAAGCAAUGGGAGAUUCGGAACUAAUUCUAGGUUGCGGAAAAAUCUUUUCUGGAAGAAGUAAAAAGGAAAAAUAAAAGAUGAUCUGAAGGGAAAUUUUAUUUUAUUUAUUUUAAAUUUUUUGUGAGGACGAUUGGCCCUGCUUGAGGAAGAUCUGCGCCCAGGAUCUGAAGCUGUGAACCCCAGGCCAGCAAAGUGGAGCACGCAAACUUAACCACUACGCCACCAGGCCAGCCUCGUGUAAACGCUAUUCUUGUCAAAAAACUAAAGAGAAACUCCCUUCAUACCCCAGUCUUCAAGUGAUUUCCAUGGAGCUGAAAUGGUUUGGAGGAGAGAAGCAACUAUAUAGACAAGUUUUUAAAGUUUGGGAUGAUCUCAUUUGGGGAUGAAAAAGACGGCUGUGCACUGAGAAUUUCCCACAGAUUAUCUCUAUUUGGGAAAAAAUAUAAGCUGAUAUUGUCUUUAUUUUAGGUUACUGAAAGAUGAGCCACAUCUAAAUAUAUUCUAUUCAUUCAAUUCAACAACUAUUUAUUGAGCACACGCUAUGUGCAGGAUACUGUUCUCAUCACUAGAGAUGGAACAGUGAACAAAACUGACAAAAAUUCCUACCCUGUGGAACUUACGGUCCAGCCGGAGGUGAGGUAAUAAACAAUAAACAUCAUAGUGACUAGUUCUUGUGGUAUGUUAGAAGAUGGUAAGUGCUAUGGGAAAAAAUAAAGCAGAGAAAGGAGAGGAUCAGAGGUAAAAGGGUUGGAGGGUUGGUUACAUUAUUAAGGGUGUUCAGGGAAGACCUCAUUUGAUUUUUGUUUUGUUUUGUUUUCUUUUGUGUGUGUGUGUGUGUUUUUUGCAAGGAAGAUUGGCCCUGAGCUAACAUCUAUUGCCAAUCUUCCUCUUUUUGCUUGAGAAAGAUUGUCAGUGAGCUAACAUCUAUGCCAAUCUUCCUCUAUUUUGUAUGUGGGAUGCCGCCACAGCAAGGCUUGAUGAGUGGUGUGUAGGUCUGUGCCUGGCAUCUGAACCUGGAAACCCCAGACCACUGAAGCAGAGCAUGCAAACUUAACCACUACAUGGCCAGGCCAGCCCCAGACCUCAUUUGAAAGGUAUCAUUUGAGCAAAGACUUCAAGAAGGUUUCUUUGGGUCAGGAGCAACUUAGCUGAGCAGUGCUGGCUUGAGAUCUCUCAUGAAGGGUCAGUCAAGAUGUCAGGUGGAGCUGCAGUCCUCUGAAAGUUCAACGGAGGCUGAGAUCCCCUUUCAAGGUGGCUCACUCACAUGGCUGAUGCCUCAGUUCUCUUCAGGCUCCGUUCCCCAAGGCUGCUUGAGUAUCCUCAUAACUUGGUGGCUGGCUUACCCCAGAAUGAAUGAUUCAAGAAGGAGAGCACCAAGUGGAAGCUACGUCCUGGAAAGUAUGGUAGCAUCUUUUCCACCAUCUGUUGGUUAUCUGUGAGUCACAGUGGAGGAAGAGAACUUCUCUUUCCCAAUAGUUUCAACCACAGUUCUAGAAUUGUUUCCCAGUAGCUUUGCCUGGGUCAUCAUCACUCUGGCCAAACAUGAGUCUUGUGCUAGUCCUUGGAGCUGAGAGAUGAGGUCAGUUCCAUCUGAAACACAUGGACUGAAAGUGGGAGAGAGAGAGUUCCCCAAAGGGAAAUCAGGGUAUUGUUACCAGAAGAAGAAGGAAUAGAUACCAGACAAGCAAAAAUAAAAGAUGUCCACUAUAGUGCCUCUGCGUUAUUGGAAAUUGUUAUGGAAAGUGUGCAUUCCUUUUAUGAAAAAACUUACAUUAAAGACAAAAAAGUUUAAAGAUAUUAACUGUCAUCUCUGCAAAGUGCAAUUACAGUAAAAUUUCUCCCAGUUUUCUAUUUAUUCCAAAUUUCCUUUCAUGGGUAGGUAUUACAUUUUUUUUCCCGCUUUUUCUCCCCAAAUCCCCCCCAAUACAUAGUUGUAUAUUUUAGUUGUAGGUCCUUCUAGUUGUGGCAUGUGGGAUGCCACCUCAACAUGGCUUGAUGAGUGGUGCCAUGUCUGCCCCUAGGAUCCAAACCAGUGAAACCCUGGGCCAACGAAGUGGAG